GAGGUUAUAUCUCAGUAGUAGAGUGAAUGCCUAGCAUGCAUGAGGUCCUGGGUUCAAUCCCUAGUCCCUCCA
rfam:Camelus ferus unplaced genomic scaffold scaffold2578, whole genome shotgun sequence.